rnacentral:rRNA from 1 species
CCUACGGGCGGCAGCAGUGGGGAAUAUUGCACAAUGGGGGAAACCCUGAUGCAGCGACGCCGCGUGAGUGAAGAAGUAAUUCGUUAUGUAAAGCUCUAUUAGCAGGGAAGAAAAUGACGGUACCUGAGGAAGAAGCCCCGGCUAACUACGUGCCAGCAGCCGCGGUAAUACGUAGGGGGCAAGCGUUAUCCGGAUUUACUGGGUGUAAAGGGAGCGUAGACGGCAGUGCAAGUCUGGAGUGAAAGGCGGGGGCUCAACCCCCGGACUGCUCUUGAAACUGUACGGCUGGAGUGCAGGAGAGGUAAGUGGAAUUCCUGGUGUAGCGGUGAAAUGCGUAGAGAUUAAGAGGAACACCAGUGGCGAAGGCGGCUUACUAGACUGUAACUGACGUUGAGGCUCGAAAGCGUGGGGAGCAAACAGGAUUAGAUACCCCUGUAGUC